CCUACGGGUGGCAGCAGUGGGGGAUAUUGCACAAUGGGGGAAACCCUGAUGCAGCGACGCCGCGUGUGGGAAGACGGUCCUCUGGAUUGUAAACCACUGUCCCCAGGGACGAAGAUGACGGUACCUGGGGAGGAAGCUCCGGCUAACUACGUGCCAGCAGCCGCGGUAAUACGUAGGGAGCGAGCGUUGGCCGGAAUUACUGGGUGUAAAGGGAGCGUAGGCGGGGCGGCAAGGUGGGGGUCAAAGCUACCGGCUCAACCGGUAGCCGCACUGAAAACUGAGGUUAUUGAGUGAAGUAGAGGCAGGCGGAAUUCGUAGUGUAGCGGUGAAAUGCGUAGAUAUUAGGAGGAACACCAGUGGCGAAGGCGGCCUGCUGGGCUUUUACUGACGCGGAGGCUCGAAAGUGUGGGUAGCAAACAGGAUUAGAUACCCCAGUAGUC
rnacentral:rRNA from 1 species